rnacentral:rRNA from 1 species
GACGAACGCUGGCGGCGUGCCUAAUACAUGCAAGUCGAACGCAGUGGGUACGGCUGAGUAACCCGUGGGUAACCUCCCCAUCAGCGGGGAUAACACUUGGAAACAGGUGCUAAACCGAUACUCAUCGCUGCACCCGCGGUGUAUUAGCUAGUUGGUGAGGGAACGGCUCACUAAGGCAACGAUGAAUAGCCGACCUGAGAGGGUGAGCGGCCACACUGGAACUGAGACACGGCCCAGACUCCUACGGGAGGCAGCAGUAGGGAAUCUUCGGCAAUGGACGAAAGUCUGACCGAGCAACGCCGCGUGAGUGAAGAAGGUUUUCGGAUCGUAAAACUCUGUUGUUAGAGAAGCGGUAUCUAACCAGAAAGCCACGGCUAACUACGUGCCAGCAGCCGCGGUAAUAC